GACGAACGCUGGCGGCGUGCUUAACACAUGCAAGUCGAACGGAAAGGCCCUGCUUUUGUGGGGUGCUCGAGUGGCGAACGGGUGAGUAACGCGUGAGUAACCUGCCCUUGACUUGGGGAUAACUUCAGGAAACUGGGGCUAAUACCGGAUAGGAGCUCCUGCUGCAUGGUGGGGGUUGGAAAGUUUCGGCGGUUGGGGAUGGACUCGCGGCUUAUCAGCUUGUUGGUGGGGUAGUGGCUUACCAAGGCUUUGACGGGUAGCCGGCCUGAGAGGGUGACCGGCCACAUUGGGACUGAGAUACGGCCCAGACUCCUACGGGAGGCAGCAGUGGGGAAUAUUGCACAAUGGGCGGAAGCCUGAUGCAGCAACGCCGCGUGCGGGAUGACGGCCUUCGGGUUGUAAACCGCUUUCGCCUGUGACGAAGCGUGAGUGACGGUAAUGGGUAAAGAAGCACCGGCUAACUACGUG
rnacentral:rRNA from 1 species